UUUAGUGAGAGCCCUAAGUCCCUAAUCUUGUGCUCCAACUAUAAUUCUUUUUCUGUCAAAACCAAGCUCUCCAUUCUUAAGCCACUGCAUUGAGCCAUCU